rnacentral:rRNA from 1 species
ACGAUGCGUAGCCGACCUGAGAGGGUGAUCGGCCACACUGGAACUGAGACACGGUCCAGACUCCUACGGGAGGCAGCAGUAGGGAAUCUUCCGCAAUGGGCGAAAGCCUGACGGAGCACCGCCGCGUGAGUGAUGAAGGUCUUCGGAUCGUAAAACUCUGUUAUUAGGGAAGAACAAAUGUGUAAGUAACUAUGCACGUCUUGACGGUACCUAAUCAGAAAGCCACGGCUAAGUACGUGC